CAAUGGCAGGUACAGAGGGAUGCUACCGGGCGACCGGAUGCGGAUCUCGAAAGCCUGUCCCAGUUCGGACUGGAGUCUGCAACCCGACUCCACGAAGUUGGAUUCGCUAGUAAUCGCGCAUCAGCCAUGGCGCGGUGAAUACGUUCCCGGGCCUUGUACACACCGCCCGUCAAGCCAUGGGAGCCGGGGGCGCCUGAAGUCCGGGACCGCGAGGACCGGCCUAGGGCGAAACUGGUAACUGGGGCUAAGUCGUAACAAGGUACC
rnacentral:rRNA from 1 species